rnacentral:rRNA from 1 species
GACGAACGCUGGCGGCGUGCUUAACACAUGCAAGUCGAACGGAAAGGCCCUGCUUUUGUUGGGUGCUCGAGUGGCGAACGGGUGAGUAACACGUGAGUAACCUGCCCUUGACUUUGGGAUAACUUCAGGAAACUGGGGCUAAUACCGGAUAGGAGCUCCUGCUGCAUGGUGGGGGUUGGUAAGUUUCGGCGGUUGGGGAUGUACUCGCGGCUUAUCAGCUUGUUUGUGGGGUAGUGGCUUACCAAGGCUUUGACGGGUAGCCGGCCUGAGAGGGUGACCGGCCACAUUGGGACUGAGAUACGGCCCAGACUCCAACGGGAGGCAGCAGUGGGGAAUAUUGCACAAUGGGCGGAAGCCUGAUGAAGCAACGCCGCGUGCGGGAUGACGGCCUUCGGGUUGUAAACCGCUUUAGCCUGUGACGAAGCGUGAGUGACGGUAAUGGGUAAAGAAGCACCGGCUAACUACGUG